rnacentral:rRNA from 1 species
UGCUGGAGGUAUCAGAAGUGCGAAUGCUGACAUAAGUAACGAUAAAGCGGGUGAAAAGCCCGCUCGCCGGAAGACCAAGGGUUCCUGUCCAACGUUAAUCGGGGCAGGGUGAGUCGACCCCUAAGGCGAGGCCGAAAGGCGUAGUCGAUGGGAAACAGGUUAAUAUUCCUGUACUUGGUGUUACUGCGAAGGGGGGACGGAGAAGGCUAUGUUAGCCGGGCGACGGUUGUCCCGGUUUAAGCAUGUAGGCUGGUUGUCCAGGCAAAUCCGGAUAAUCAAGGCUGAGGUGUGAUGACGAGGCACUACGGUGCUGAAGUAACAAAUGCCCUGCUUCCAGGAAAAGCCUCUAAGCAUCAGGUAACAUCAAAUCGUACCCCAAACCGACACAGGUGGUCAGGUAGAGAAUACCAAGGCGCUUGAGAGAACUCGGGUGAAGGAACUAGGCAAAAUGGUGCCGUAACUUCGGGAGAAGGCACGCUGGUGUGUAGGUGAAGUCCCUGCGGAUGGAGCUGAGACCAGUCGAAGAUACCAGCUGGCUGCAACUGUUUAUUAAAAACACAGCACUGUGCAAACACGAAAGU